AACCAUUACGCCAGCAUCCUAGCCGAAGCGCGGACCUCAGUCCCGGCUGGCCGUAUUACACCCUGGGCUAUAACACCUCCACCGAAGUGGAGGCCACAUUCCCAGAGCCUUUAUCCGGCCGCCGAAACUGAUGCUGGCCUGUCCAAACUGAGUAAACCGGUCAGAAGACCGGCCGAACAGUUUAAACAAGUCUGAUUGCAAGCGCUUCCCUUUCAACAAUUUCACGUGCUUUUUAACUCUCUUUCCAAAGUGCUUUUCAUCUUUCGAUCACUCUACUUGUGCGCUAUCGGUCUCUCGCCAAUAUUUAGCUUUAGAAGAAAUUUACCUCCCAUUUAGAGCUGCAUUCCCAAACAACUCGACUCGUCGAAGGAGAUUUACAUAGGGUGCCAUUUCCUGUCACAUACGGGAUUCUCACCCUCUAUGACGUCCUGUUCCAAGGAACUUAGACAGGCGGCUUCCCCAAAUCAUCCUCUACAAAUUACAAUGCGAACCCGAAGGCUAGCUUUCAAAUUUGAGCUGUUGCCGCUUCACUCGCCGUUACUAGGGCAAUCCCU
rnacentral:rRNA from 1 species